rnacentral:rRNA from 1 species
UACGUAGGGUGCAGGCGUUAAUCGGAAUUACUGGGCGUAAAGCGUGCGCAGGCGGUUUGCUAAGACAGGUGUGAAAUCCCCGGGCUUAACCUGGGAACUGCGCUUGUAACUGGCAAGCUAGAGUGUGGCAGAGGGGGGUGGAAUUCCACGUGUAGCAGUGAAAUGCGUAGAGAUGUGGAGGAACACCGAUGGCGAAGGCGGCAUCCUGGACCGACAUUGACGCUGAUGAGCGAAAGCUAGGGGAGCAAACGGG